GAGGGUAUAGCUCAGUGGUAGAGCACAUGCUUAGCACACACUAGGUCCUGGGUUCAAUCCCCAGUACCUCCA
rnacentral:tRNA from 1 species